GCGGAUUUAAUUUCAUCAUGCAGUGUCACACCCGGAUUUAAGGGACAAAGCCGGAUGCAUCUCAUACAUGCGCCAAAGAAGACAACAUAUAUAAUAACAGAGUGUAUAGAGAUAAAUGUCACAAUAACAUCAGAGUACUUAUUACAUAGCGAAAGUCAUACAAAAAUAAAAGAUAAAUAUAAAAACAAACUAAAUCCAUCCUUGGUGCCAAUAAGUCAACUGGGAGACGCCACCUAGAUCAGAUCAAACUCGUCGUUUUGUGGCUCCUCUUGAACCACAUGUUCUUCUCCUGUAGAGGGUGUGAGACAGCAAGGGUGAGCUCAUACAUGAUCAUAGCUCAACAAGUUGUAGGAAAACCAGUGGGCAUGAACUCACCAAAGGUGGGAGUUCAUGUGAUAUAUAAGGCUGAUCAACAAUAGGGGUUAAAGCUGAGCAUUGCUUUUAACAAGUUGAUCAAAUUUUAUUAGCAGUUACUAAGUGUAAGUAAAUACCACACCAUAAUAAAUAAUAGAACAAAAUUAAUAAACAAUCUCAUGCAAAUGCAAAUGACAAAUUGAAUUUAAGUUACAUAAAUUAAUCAUGUGAGUGUCUGAGUCGCUCAUGACCGUGAGCACGGCUAGUAUACAAGUUUUACACUCCGUAGAGGUUGUACCCUGUACCCACAAGUCAUGUUACCCAUCUGCCAAGAGACGAUCAAUCCAAUACACGUCUAUCGAGGAGACGAGGCAGGGUAACACUACGAGGCCUUUACAAAGUUCCACUAGUUUCAGAAAACCCGUUACAUUUUAUGGGAAGAGCACUUGCAAGAAUCCCCGUCUGACCGCCAUCGCAGCAAAAUCAACCCGAGAACCUCCCUGCAUGCAACUCCCCUACUGCCCUUACCCCUUUCGGGUAAGGUAGUCUUCCACUAGUUUUCCUAAUUAGUUAGCCAAGGGUCCCAUCCCUCCCUUGUGGUGGCACGUUUUCCCGGGUGGUUCUCCAUGUUCCCAUUAACAUAAUGAUCUUAUCAUGAACAUAAAUAACAUAACAGAAUAAUUGGAACAUGGAUGUAAUGAAAUAUUAACCCAAAACCAUAUAAAGCAAUAGCAAAAUUACCCAAGUGAUUCAGGGGUAAACAAGGUAAAAAGGAUAAAUAGACUAGGGUAACCUAUUGGGCCCCAUCAAAAUUAAACCUAUGCAUUGAAUAGUGAUAAUAAAGAGCAUUAUUGGGUAACAAAAGUGGUCAAGAGCACAACUUGCCUUCAAUGAGCUCCUGCUCAGCAACUUCUAUCUGCUGGGCACCAGGAUCCUCAGUCACAGGCUCUUCUACUCGCCACAAUACAAACAAUCAUAUUAUAAAGGAGAAAUUAACAUCACACGAAACAUGUAAACAAAGUACAUAAUAAUAAUCUACAAAUUAAAAUAAGAUCCUAGGAACAGGAAUUAUUAAUUUUGGAGUUAUAGAUUUUAAGUUAUGAAUUUCCAAAGGUUUUAUGUGCUUGAUAUAUGAUUAAGUGAGAAAUAAUUUUUCUUACUGUUUUCAUGUCAAAACAGAGACUCUAGGUGAUAAACAAUAAUCUUACAAAAUUUUAGAAACUGGAAUGGGUUAAUUUGGAGUUCAUAUGAAUUUUCUAUGAAUUUAACAAGUUCUAGCAAUUAUUUUUGUAUUAAAAAUCCAUUUCUAAUUUAUUUUCUCUGGUUUUAUAACUCUCUGGAUUGGGCCUCAAUUAUAGAAAAGUGCAGGGGUGAUUACAUAAAAAACCUGAGACUCAGUCAAUAGCAGUCCUGGACUGUGGGUUGAUUCCAGUAAAGUGCGGAGUCUCUUUAGAAAAAUGUACCCGUGAAGGGGUACACGUUGAUUACAGCCGUUAGAUCGGAUCCGAGGGCCACAAAUAGAUCUAGGUUAACUUCAACCGGUACCCAACGACCGCCCUCGGAUUGAGGAUCGGCGGCCAGGAUUCAAUUGACGGGUGAACAGCUCCCAGCCACCUGAUAUUGAACCGACGCCAUGGAUUUAAUGUCGCGAAGAGGUAUCCUAGGCUCUAAUCAAAGUCGUCCACUAACGGAUCAACAACGCAGUGACCGUCUCCUUCCCCCGGCUGAACGAGACGGCGUUCAGCCGGCGGCACCGCCCUGACCCCGCGGCGGAGGAUGGCCGAACCUAGGCGAACACGCGCCCAAAUGCUGCCACCCGAUGAAACCCAAGGCGUAUAGGUAAAACAAGGUGUGGUGAAUUCAAUUACUUGUUUCUUACCUCGAAUUGGUGCUCGGGCGAUGCUGCCCACGGAGUUAGAUGGAUUCGCGGCACGCAGAGACUCCGGGGAGCAAUUGAGCCGACACCGGUGACGCUCCAAGCCCAAUACCGCCACCCCAACUUCCCAUGAACCACGGCGAAGCUCUGGGCGGACACGUCGGAGAUGCUUCACCAGCACAGCGGAGAUUCCCCGCGGCGGCGGCAACGAGUGGCCAAAGAGGAGCGCUCGGAUUUGAGGGAGGAUAGAGGGGAGGAACAGGUCUUGGGAGGCGCGACACGAGAGCCUUUAUGGGCGGAUAGUCGCCCGCGGAGGAGAUCCCGGGACGUGCGCGGCUGAAGCGGAG
rnacentral:lncRNA from 1 species